GCCUACGGCCACACCACCCUGACCGCGCCCGAUCUCGUCUGAUCUCAGAAGCUAAGCGGGGUCGGGCCUGGUUAGUACUUGGAUGGGAGAAACAUCUUUCUUCUUUGUGUCUCCAGGGCACACCAAGUGCAUGCC
rnacentral:rRNA from 1 species